UCUUUUUCUUUUUUUUUAACUAGACUGUGUUGGCUUUAGGCAGGGCUCAAACACACAGUUUCAUGAUAGCCAAUAUCAUGCCUUUUUUGGUUAAUAUGCUACUUCUGGGCUCCUGAAGGAUUUUACACUUGGGGCUUCUAACCACAUGCUUAGAUAUUCUAUCAUCUUGGUUGAAAAAAAUGAAUUAAUAAUUAAGGUAGAACAUGGCUUUCUAGCCUUUGCUCAUGAGACUGACUUUUGGUCAACUCUCCUCUGAGAGGGUCACCUUUCUGUUUAUAUAUGAGUGUACACAGCUGAGAAUAUGUACCAUUCUAUCUAGAGGCUUUGAUGGAGCAGCUAUUUUGUGCUGAAUAAACAUGAUAUGAAAACAUCUUUAAUGGCUUUGUCCUAACACAGCCUUUCUUUUCCUUCUAAAUAUCAUGCUUUCCAAGUGCUGUAUCUGGAAAAGCACACUACUCUAUUUUUCAAUGCCUUGAAGGUUUACUGCCUCUUCAAAACAGAGCAUUGUGUGUUCCUGCCAUUGCUCAUGGAGAAGAAGAAUUUUUUGUCUGGAUGUCAAGAAAAUGAACAGGUUUCUGCACUCUAUUCAGACUUGAGGACUUUGGGGCAUACAGAGUGCCAUCUACAUGUCUAGCAAAAUGCAAUGAUAGAGACUGCCUUCAGCAGCCCGCUCCUUAAAACGUAUCCACCCAUCUCGUAGCCCUUCUAGUCUCACAGCAGUCAGGAGAAUAUUCUCAUGUUGCAAGUUUGGGCUGAAAUUUUCCCCCAAAUUUGUACCCUUCAGUAAUUUCCAGUUGCUCUUUGGAUUAAGUCUAUAACUGACACCACAGAGGCGUGCAGGACCUACUACUUGACAGCUUCAUUCUCCACUGUUCUCUUGCUGGGUCUCUCUCCGGUCUCAUCAGCCAUCCUUCAGAACCUCACAUUCACCAUAACCGUCUGGUAACAGGGCCUCGCAAACAUGCUCUCCUUUGCCUGGAAGAUUCCCUCUCAUUCUGCCUGGGCAAGUCUUACUUAUCCUUCAGAUCUCAGCUCAAGGGACACUUCUCCAGGGAUGAUGUCCUCCUCUUCCUGGGCAUUACGCAACACUAUUAGACCUUGUCUUCAUAUGCCCUCACCACUAGAGCAUUUGUCACUGUUUAUAGUAACUUGAUUAAUUAGUCUUGCAUCUAGGGGGGAACCAAAUGUAUGUUCACCACCGGUGAACCCAUUGUCUAGCCAAUAUCUGACAUGGAAUAGAGAUGUUCUUUAGGCAUUUGUUUGUAAUUUUUGAAUAAAUAAUUUUUCUUGCAAAGAGACUGACUCCUCAGUUUGCUCCUAAAAUUUCCAGGUAAGUGACAUUCCCAUGUAUCAACAAUAGGAUCCAGAGCAGCCUUUCAUGCAUAUCUUUGAAAUCGCCCAUUUAUUUGCCUCCUGUUUGCUUUUCCUGCUAACUGUGCUUUUGCAGAUACUUGGGAAGAUAAAGGCUUUGGCCAUCCCGGCCCAUCUUUUCUCCCAGCUCCAUCUGCCAGGGAAGAAACAGUGACUCAGAAAACUAAUGGGCCAGUCUAACGAUGGUCAUGAUUUCACUGCUGGUGAUUUUUCUAUUAGAUUUAUAAAAUUGAGUCAAAAUGAAGGAAUUGCCUUGGGGCGCAAGUACCAAAAGCAAACAAUGAAUUCAGAAACACAAAUCAGAACGGCGCUAACCAGUGUAUGUUAAAAGCAAGCAGCAAAAGUGAUAAAGGUUGAAAGAAUUAAAAAAUGUGAGACUGAACUUUUUUUUUUUUUUAUGGGAACAUGAUGGUCUAUGAGAAACUCAGGAUGUGCCAUCAGACUAGCACAGUGUUACCACUAGAAUGACCUGGACAAAAAUACUGUCACAGAGGUUGGGCCCAGAGGAUUCACUGUAGAAUGAGAAGAGGGAUAUGAAACAAUGAUAGAAAUGAAGGAUGACUCCAAGGUUUGUGGCUGAAGUAACCAGGAGACUGGAGUCCUUGUUCAUUGAGCUGGAGAAGAAGCUGGACAUGUGGGUUUUUCUCAAGGGGAACGAAGAGCUGGGCUUUGAGACCUGUAGAGCAUCCCAGAGGAAGUGCUGGCUUUCCUCUGAGUUCAGCGGGGACACAGCUUGUGCUGUGUUGCUCACUGUUUCAUCCCCCGGACCUCCUGAGAGGCCAGCUGAGACUUGAUUCACACGGUUGAUGGGGAGUCUGGGCCGACUGCUCAGCCAGCAAGUGACUAAAGCCAAGUGGGAGGUGGGCAGCUAUGGAUGAGAGUAAAGAGGAUUUUGAAGUUGGAGGACAGGCUCAAUUUAAAGCAGAUGCAAAGGGAAAAAUAGAACCUCGCUGGUUACAACAGAAGAUUUUGGCUCUCAAUGAAAAGACUAUAAAGCGAAAAGCAUAAUAAAGCCAAGCACAUUUACCACCAAAUUUUAUAUACUGAUAGUACCUCACACAAAGCAGACAGUUUCACCUCAUUUAUAAAGAGAUGUCAGAGGAGUAGGCAAUAUUUUUUCAUUCUAUCUCAUAUGAAUA